rnacentral:lncRNA from 1 species
GUGAACCAGCUAGAGAUAUGCCUUGCAUUUUUAAAUAAUCAUUUGUCACUUCUUGGCUCAUCCUUGACCCCCAACUCUCACACCCAUUUAAAGGUCCAUCAUCCAAAUUUCUAAUAGCUUUUGAAAUCUCAUCACAAGCCAAAAUUAUUCCAUUUUCACUCAAAAGUUCAGACCUUUCAAGACCAACAAACCCAGCAACCACACAAUUUCCAAAGUAAUUCAAUGGCACUUGUGGCUUUAAACGAGUUCUUGCAUCAGCUGCAAACACAAACCAUAAUUUCCCUUCUUUUAAACCUUCUAAUUUGGCUGUACAAACACAAAGAUAAGCUGUUGCUAUUGCAAAUGUAGAUAUGUGAGAAGAAGAAUCAAACUUUUCAUUUUCGAUCUUCUUGUUCAAGAUCCAUUCCUUUAGCUUUUGAAUGUUUUGGUGUGUGAAUUCUAAAGUGCUUCUAACUAAACCAUGUUUUGUUUGGGGGAAUUUAAGGUUUAGGCUUUUGUUGUUGGGUCCUUCCGCAUCUUUCCAUGCUUUUGCAUAGAUUUUUGCAAGAUCUUUUGGAUCAUUUAUAACUGACCUAUUAUAUAAUGGCACUUGUUUGGGGGUUGGUACAGAGGAUUCUUCCAUGCAAAUUUGAGCCCAUGAUUUGAUAAAUGAAGUUGAGCUUCUUCCAUCGAAGAUUGCAUGGUGAUUGGUUAUUCCAAUCGAAAAACCUUUGUUUUGAAAUUUGGUUACCUAUAUAUUGAGAAUAUAAAUAAUUAAUUAAUUGUUACCUUCCAACUAUAGCAAUCAAAUUUAAAGUGUUUACAAAUAUAAUACAAUCCAAAGUUAUAUAUAUAGCAAAACGUUGAAAUAACCAAUCACUAAUCAAUUAAUAAUAGUCGUCUAUUAAUAAUAGUCUAUUACUAAUAUUGGAAACAUAAAUAAUUAAGUGAUUGGUACAAUUGCAAGUAUUCCAAGAUCUAUAUUUGGAUUUUAUAAUCUAUCUAGCUAUUAGUGAUAUUUUAGAGAUAUUACAAGUCUAUUACUAGUAAUAUUCUAUCAAUGAAAGAAAUAAUGUAUUACUAAUGGAGAAAUUUAUAACGAGAAUGUCUAUCAUUGAUAAAUAUUUUACAAUACCUGUAUAAUUCAACUUUAACGCAUGGUUGUUAUACAUUUACUUAUUUAGCUAUAAAAGUUAUAUUCUUUAUAAUAAUUGUUAUAACUAAUCUUAAUUAAAUAAGGUUUGGUUCUUAACCAUGCAUUUAAGUGACUUAAAUGCAGUACGUAUGUUUUUUCCUUUCAAUUUAGUCCUUUAAAAAUUUUUAAUUUAGCAUUUUUGGUUAGUGAAUAAUGUCAAGAAAUUUUUUAGAAAGAAAAGAAAAAAAAGCUAUCUUAUAAGCAAACAAAAAGUAAAAAUUUCAACUAACUUCGUAGAAACAAACAGGGGGAAGAAAUUAGAAACCUUUUUUUCUUUUUGUUAAAAUUGAAACAGAUGAACAAGAAGAAGAACUAGCUGAAGAUGAAAAACAAAGAUAAUAAAACAUCAAAUGAAAGUGAUGAAGAAGAAAAUAUAAGGUGGGAAAACAAAAUAAGAAAAAGGCAAUAGAAAAACUUAAAUAUUGUGAUAUUCCGCUAUAUCAACCUAUCUAAAUUGAAUAUAUAGUGAUUGUCUACGAUUGAUUGUUCUUAUUAUUAAUUCCAACAAUUUCUUGUUGCAGAAGAAAGAAAGAGAAAAUAAAGAAAGAAAUAAAGUGAUAAUUAUCUGCAAUAUUGAACACAAAAUCUCAAAAUUUUAAAAAUAUUUUACUGCAUCUUAAAAUCUUUUGGUGUUUUCUUACCAAAAUUAACCUAAACGUAAGUAUAAUUGUUCUUUAUUUAUUUGGCAAUAUGCAUGAUUUAUUGUUUUCAGAUAAAAGGCAAAAAAACAAAAGCUUUUAUAAAAUACAGUAAAUUUUAUUUAGAUUAUGUCAUUUACCAUCAUUUUUCUAAGACUUUUUAUGAUUAAUUUCAUAAAUUUUCAAACAUCUUUAAUUUCCGAAGGACUUAUUCUCAUCCAUUUUGUUCUUAGAGAUACCUUAUUCACAAGGUAUACAUAAAUUUCUACAAACAUUUUUUAAAAACUUAUAAAAACAACCCAAAAUAUAAAAAUAAUAAAUUAUUAAAUAAAAUAAGUAAUCUAUUAUUUUCGAAUAACUAAACAUAUCUAAAUUUUAGAAGGAUAUAAUUCACAUUAAGAACGAAUUUAUUAUAGGCACCUGCCCCUCACAUUAUCGAUUUUUUAUUUUAAUAUUAAUUUUGAAGGAUUAGAUUACAAUAUAUAUUAACUUUAUUUGACCUAAAUUCUGCUUAUGCUAUAAUGGUUGUGCCCCUAAAUCUUGUCUGUUACAAUUAUUUUUACAAAAUAGAUUUUAUUCCAAAUAUCAAUAAUUUUCUUUCCUCAAAAAUUAAAUUUCUUUCUAGAUUUUCAUAAAAUAAAUUUUAUUCAAAACAUCACUAAUUUUCUUUUCUCAAUCAUCAAUAAUUUUAUUUCCUCAAAUAUCCGAUUUAUUUCUAAAUUUGAAUGAUUUUCUAAAAGGGAGAUAAUUUGAUUUCUUAGAAGGAAAAUAAUUUGAUUUAAAAGAGAGAUAAUAUUUUAAAAAGAGAAAAAAACUGAUCUCGAAAAAAAUCUUAACCUAUUUCCAGUCUUUCUUUAUUACUACAAUUUCUGAAACGUUGAGAUAUCUUUUAAACCGUGUUUAUUUUACUGUGCUCGGUGCUCCCUGUAUAAAAUUUAUAGAUCCGCCACUAGUUCACAUAUUGGAAAUAUCUACACGGAUGCAAACUGAUACUCUAUUAUCGCCUACUUAAGAAUUAGUGGUUAAGAACCUGAAUAGCAAUAACUGCAGCACGAUCAUGAGAGACUGUCAAUACAGGAACAAGAGGAUGAAAAUCCGAAACUUCUCGAAAUCCGUUACCAGAAAGAUGAUCAAAAUCAUCGUCGGACUCCGCCACCGUCAUGGAAACCCCAUUACCUUCUACAAAUUCAAUGACAGGUACAUCGGAUUGCGAUGGCCAAACGAGGUUGCCAGCCAAAGGAAGAUGGUGACAAAGAGCGAGAGAAAGAGAGCUCUUGAGCUUCGAAACAAUGACAUCGUAAGACGAGAUCUGAUUGGAUGGAAAUUCGUAGAAAAAAAGACGUUGAAUUGGAUAAAACCUUAACCAGAACAAAUCAAAGAAAGUGAGGGGAAGAGAUAUGGGCGCUGCCGCUGUGGGAGGAGGGGAGACUUUGGAGACCUCAAUUACUUUCAGAGAAGGAAAGUUAGCCAUCGGAAAUAAUAGAAAAGUGAGAAGAUAAUGGGUUGGAUCCUUUCAAAUCUUUGGGGUCUUUUAAAGGUCCAAAAACGUUGAAAACAACAAACAAAUCAUGACGUAUUGGCUUUCGUCUUUUUUACUCCUUGAAAUUAUGAAAUGGAAAGUCUUCUAGAAUUUCAAAAAUAUCGCUCUAGCCUGUAGCCUGUAGCCUGUAGCCUGUAUAUAUCAUUAUGAACGAAUAAACCAAAAAUAUUUUUACUCUUUCUAGUACAAAUACUAAUAGAUUCUAAUUUUUCUAAAUUUUUUUAGAAUUUUUAUUAUUUAAAAUAAUUUUUUAUAACAUAUAGGUGUAUUUUCAAAUAUAGAAUACAAAUUAAAACUUUUAUAAAAAUAUAGCAAAAUUUUAAAUCCAUCGAAAUCAAACGAUAAAAUUUAAAAUUUUACUGAAUUUUGUAAAUAUUUUCAAGAGUUUUGUCUAACGUAAAUGUCUAUUACAUCUGAUUUUUAUUAUAAAAUAUAAAUAUUUAGUCGAUUUUUAUAAAUUAUACUUUUAAAAUACGUAUUUCAAAUGUAAUAUUAUACCUGUCCUUUCAAUUUCAAUUCAUAUUUAAUUGUCUUUAUAUAUCACAUAUUAACUAGUGUACGAUUAUUCAUUAAAUAUAAGAGAAAUGCAUUCAAUUAUUGUUUGAAAAAGUAAAACCAUUUAAAGAAUGAUAUUCACAUGGUGAGAAAUGCAUUAAAUAUACCAAAGUCAAUCUCAAUUCGGUAUAAAUUCCAAAUUUACUCUAUCUUGGUAUAAUUAAAAUCUUCAUGUCUUAUCAUUUUUCCUUUUCAAGUUGCAGGGUUAAAUUUGUAAUUUAAGCUUUAAUUUAUAUAUAAAAAAUGGUAAUGGAUAAAACUUUUGUUAAAUAAUUGGCUAAUCUACUAUUAGGGAAAUAAUUGGCUAAUCUUUGUUUUUCACUAGUUGGAAGGAAAAUCUUCUAGAAUUUCAAAAAUAUCAUCAUUUGUAAAAUACACCAACAUAAAUCAAAAUAUUUAUAAAAUAUAACAGAAUUUUAGAUGUAUCACUAUUGGUAUUGAAGACAAAAAAAGUCUAUUAGUGUCUAUCAUUGAUAUAAUCUAAAUUUUACUAUAUUUUGUAAGUAUUUUCAACUAUUUUGUCAUUUAAAAUAAUUUCUCCAAUAUAAAUGUCUACUACAUCUGAUUUUUGUCAUAAAAUAUAAAUAUUUUGACAACUUUUAUAAAUUAUACUUUUAAAUAUUCAUUUCAAAUGUAAUAUUAAAAGUCAUCUCUUUUGAAGUGUAUUAUUAAUGGUCUUUUAUCAAAUGAGUUUAAAUAAGAGAAAUUGUAAAAGAAAAGUAAAAUGGACAAACUAUUUACACUUUGUGACAAAAGUGUAAUGAGUUUGGGUUUUUUAGUGAUUUUUUUGCCACAGUGUAAAUUGUUUGUAUUUUUUUUUAGAAAAUGAUACUUGUAUGGUUGGUAGGCGAGGUCGAUACCCUUUUAGCUCCCUCAUCAUUCUCAAUAGUUUGUAUUUUUUUUUUAUUAAAUCUAUCAAAAUCGAACCUUAAUUUGUUUCUUCAGGAUAUUUAUGUAUUUAAAACUCAUAGAGAAGGAUUUUGUAAUGACUCAAACUCUUAAAUUAAGCUGAGGUUCUUACCUAAAAGAUAAAUAUCAAUUUUGGCACUUUCUUGUAAAGAGAAAAACUAAAUCUUUAUUAAAAUAAUUUUCAAACAACUGUUCAUAAAACAAAAUUUAGCGAAAUCUAUAAAAUUCCAUGAAAACAAACUCGAGCUAAUUUUAACUAAUUAAAGAAAAUAAAUAAAGAAAUAAAAUGUUUACAAUCGAAAAGACUAAAAAUUAAUAAAUGAAAAGCGAAAGCAAAAUUGAAUCCUUCCAUAUGGCAUGUCAUGGACCCUUACUGUCGUUGACCAACUUUUCAGAUCCUCUACCAUUGCCUGAAAUAUUAAAAAUAGAAAAAUGGCGAGUAUAUAAAAAUAUAGCCAGCAACGGAUCCACCUAUUGGCCCCUCUAAGUGAUCUAUUAACUUCUCAUUAGGAGAUCCCAUAAGGUAAUAAUAAUAUCGUUUGUCCCAUGGAGCACACGUGAGCAAGUGGUACCGUAGGAACACUUUUAGUCGUGCGAGUGAUCCAUAGGUACACCUCUAAUUGUGCGAGUGAUUUCGUCAAAACACCCUUAGGCAUGCAAGUGAUUCUGUUAAAACACACCUCUAGUCGUGCGAAUGACUCCAUUUGAACCCAAUACAACUGAUACUUAACCGUGCAUAUGAUAUUUAGGUACACGUUGUGCAAGUGAUCCCGUAGGAACGCCUCUAGUCGUGUGAGUGACCCCAAAGGUAGAAACACAAUACAUGUGGGGUAAAAGCCUAACAACCAAAAUUAACAAACAUCAUAGUCCAAAAACAUGUGACAAUCAACAUGAAUCAUCAGUCAUAGCAAUUCAUAAUCAUGCAAUUCAUAAAACAUCGAUAAUCACCAUAAUACACCAACUAUCAACAACAAAAUCUCGUUAUGUAUUUGUAGUUAUUAUCAAUACAUAAUCAUAAAAUACGUGCAGAGUCUUAAAUUUAGUUCGAAGGUUCAAUAGUAGAAUCUCUUACCUGAUAUUAGCUAAAAGUAUUCCUUUGCUGAUAGUAAUUUUUUUCAAUUAUAUUAAAACAGAUCCUAAAUAGUAAAUUUUUUUUCUCAUAUCCUUAAUUAAUAAAAUUUACCAAUGGCUAGCUAGCAUCUAAAAUUUUUCAACUUAACUUAUCCAAUAACUUAAGUAAGAUUGAAUCAAUUUAAGGUUGAUGGAAAAUUUUCACAAAUUAAUUCCUACAAAAGUUUCCAAUUAAGCCUUAAAAAAAAUCUACCAAUUAGAUUUGAAAUUAAUUUAUCUUUAAUUUAACUUUAAUGACUAAUGGGAAAAUUUUCGCAAAUUAAUCUUUCAAAAACUUCUAGAAGAAAAAGAAUCCAAAUUUUAAUACAAAAAUUAAUUUAUCAAAAGCUUUAACUUAUAUAUAUAUAACCCACAUUAAACAUAUCCAAUUAAUUAUUCUUUACAACUUUAGCCCAUUCCAAUUGGUAUGCUUUAGUAACGAUAGGCUAUAUAAUAAUUGACCAUCACAAACAUAUCACAUACUACGCAUAUAAUUGUAUUACUAUUAUCAUACAAUAAUCUAACCCUCAAUUGAGGAUCCAAUAGUAGAACCCUUAUAUUUGGUUAUGACAAGUUUCCUACGGCAGAUAAAACCACAAUUUCACCUAUGUAACCAAAUUAAAUUAACAAUUUUUGCCAACAAAUUAAUAAUUUCAUUAUCUUAGCUUAUAAAGUUAUCGAAAUAGAGAUCGAAAAAUCCUCUCAACCUUGAUAGAAAAAUUCACCACUUAAAUCUUCAAGCUUUGUGAAAGAGACCUUCCAAAUAAAAGUAACCAAAAUCAAUUGCAAUAAUAAACUUAAUUUAUUUGAUUAUGGAUAUUUGCAGCCUAAUUGUGCUUUCACCUUGAUAAACAUAAAUUAAUUAAAAGGAAUUCCUCUCUAAUUAAUACUAAAAUGUGUUUCUUCUCUAAUUAUUUUUGUUGGAAGAAUGAUUCUAACAAUUCUUUCAAACUGUUUGUUGCGAUGUAGUCUUAAUGUCGAGUAGCUAACAUGUUCAUUUAUUUAAUUUUAAUAAUUAAAUAGGUUUGAAUUCGUCACUAACUAUAUUAAAGUGUGAUUGGUCAUCUAAAAAUUUUUUUAAAAAAAUUGUCUAAAAUUCAUGAGAUUUAAGUUCGGGAGUCUUUAGGAACGUGUUAGCACCCUACAGCACCCAUAAAAAUGAUUACCAAAAUUUAUCUCUUAAACUAAAUUAAAAUGGUUCACAAAACAAGGUUUUUUUAUUUAUCUUUUUAAAUGUCUCAUGGUUCUCAAUUCACACCGAAAAAAAUAAAACCUAAGCAAUAAUUAAUAAUUAUGAGUGUCAUAAGAGCAAUUAGAAAAAUGAAGUUUAUUUUUUGUUUCAAAAUAUGAUUUUAUUUUAUUAUUAUUCACCUUAAAAAUAUUAAAAUAUCAAACUUUAAUAUUUUAAUCUUCAUAAUAAGUAAAAAUAUGAUUUUAUUUUAUUAUUAUUCACCUUAAGAAUAUUAAAAUAUCAAACUUUAAUAUUUUAAUCUUCAUAAUAAGUGUUUAAUGAGAAAUUUCAUGUACAUAAAAUUAAUAAAUUCAUAGAAAACAAUACUUAGCCUCAUUUAAAAUAUGAAAUUGUUUAUAAUUUUAAAGAUAACUUAUUAAUUAAAUUUCAACCCGAGAAAUAGAAAUUUCAUAUAUUCUUGAUAUUUAAGUUAUAAAACCCAUAAAAAACAUUACAUAUUUAAAUUUUUAUAUUCAUAUUAGAAAAUAAAUAAAUAAAUAAUAAUAAUAGUAGCAAUAUAAUGUGAAAUUGAGAAAUACAGGUUGUGAAAUAGUUGUAAAAUAAUAUAGGUGUGAAAUAGUUGCACGAAAACUGUGAAAUAAAAUAAUAUGCACGAAGGCUGCGAAAUAAAAUAAUAUACAGAGAGACGGUUGUCACACCCCAAAUCGUACUAUGACCUUGGGUAGAGUCACUCGAAAAUUAAAGAAAUUUGACAAAUAAAUGUUUAAUCAUUACUCUUGCAAUUCUCUUGAAAAUGUAGGUAAAUCUACAACAUCUCAAUUGUUAAGCUCGAAAUCAAGUGGACAUGCAUAGACUGUGUCCCCUUCAAAUGAUGCUUCUUAUGUCAUUGUUGUAAUUGAGAAACUCUCCAUCUUUGUUAACAAACAGUACUUUGAAUCAGAAUCAUGUGAUGAGUGACUUAUACCAGCACUCUUGAAAGUAUCAUAUAAUGUUGGUAUAAAUUUUAGACUUGGGAUCAAACUCCCUCAUCUCUAGCUUUGUCGAACGCUUUUUCUUAUUUUCUUCUUCAAGCCUAAUCUUAUCAUAUACGAAUGACAUUUAGCUCAAAUCAAACAUCUCAUCAUUGCUCGAUGUGUUUAGAAGUGUUUCUAAGUUUGAUUCAAACAAUAUCUUCCACUUCUCAUCACCCUAGUGAUCAUAACUUCCACUUUAGGCCCAUGUGACUUUAUUACUUCAUUUAUAGCUGCUUUCAUUAUAGUUGCAUGAACAAUUUUAAAAGAGCAAAAAUAGUAUUCUAAUGCUUCCUCUGUCGCCUCAACAUAUGGGGUUGAUACCGAUUUUGUUAUCAGAAAUUUUCCUCUCCCAUCAAACAAAUCACCUACUCAACAAUAAAUUUCAAUUUUGAUGCAAUGUGGAUGACAUCACCCCUACAGAGUGAAUCCAAGGACGUCCUAAUAAAAAACUGUAAGUAUGUGUUAUUUCCAUUACUUGAAAGACUAUAUUGAAAGUACAUAAGUCAAACUUGAUUGGUAAUUCAAUGUCACCCAUUACAUCUCUACGUGACCCAUCAAAAGCUCUCACAACCAUAGUGCUUGAUUUUAUGUGUGACAUGUCCAUUGCAAGCUUGAAUAGUGUAGAUUUAGGCAUUGCAUUAAGAGAUGAACCACUAUCCACUAAAACUCUUGCUAUUGCAUAGUCUUUGCACUUUACUUGUGUUGGAAUUUAUAUCCUAAAACUCGUAGAUUGUACAUAUAACUCAUUGACCGUUAUUAAGAAAGUGUUAUUUUUAUAAUUGCAAUAAAUAUUAUUGAUUAUAUUAAUAGUUUUGUCUUAAUAACCCAAAUCCAAUAAACUAACAUCCUAAGAUGUUUGAUGAGUCUUGAACAGUAUGUAGAGACAUAUAGAAAUCAAUGUUCGAGAUCAGCUUAAAGGGUCUAUAGUAUAAGGAUAAGAUUGGGUACCUUAUCUUGGUAACACUAUGGAUACGACUCACUUUGUAUUUGAUACAAAUGCAAUGAUUUCAUUUGUGUAGUUGAUAUGCAAGUGAAGGUAUCUUGCAACGGAUUUGCAUAAGACCAGACCAUAAAAUAGUAACCACUAGUUAUAACUCCGUUUACUAGUUAGGUUUCUAUUUCAUUAGGAUGACCUAGUUAACUUAGUCUUAAUCAUGAGUGUAUUAUGAACUCUUGUUCGCGAGAGAUUGUUCUUUGUUUUGUACAAAUGAGAGUGACCAAAUUUCCGACUCAAUAAUCUUAUUAUUUUGGGGACAAGAUCGAGUGGAGAGUUGGAAACAUAAUUUACGCAAGAUGAAAUUCACUCAUUUUCUACUUUAGGGUACGUAGAUGGUCCCUUAAAUGGUGUUUUUGGGACUUGAACAAAUGACCUUACCCUCUCUAUGAUACAAGAGAAAUUUAUGUUUAUUGGUUGGACCAUAAACAUGUUGUUCAUUAGAGAAGCACAUGUACUUAAAUAUUAGAGGUAACCCAAGGAUCAAAUGGUAAGUUGAUCUAGCUGGUAUUACAAACACUCGUGAAUAACUAACUUACUGUUAUUGGUCGAUAUCCGUGGACACAGAAAUAUAUCUACAGUGAGAAGAGUUCAGCUAUGAGUCUUUGGUGGAAUGUACACACAGUUAACGAAUAUUGAUUAAUGUAGUUAAUGAGUUUAGCCAAUUAAUCUCAGAUUGUUGUAGCUUCUGAUCUAUAGGUUCAUUAGAUCCCCUAGCCUCUAAAGGGUAAUGAGAUUUAUUUAUGUUGGUUGUAAUUUGAAAUGUUCAAAAUUACUUUGAAAAUUAGUUUAAUGUAUAGUGAUACAUUAUAAUAUAAAGGUUGUCAAAUUUUUUUAUAUAAAUUUAAUUUUGGAUAUGAUUCAAAAUUAGUUUAUGAUAAAAUAUUUGAAUGAGUUCAAAUAUUAAUUUAAUAUGAAUUGAAUUCAUAUUAAAUUAUCUGUUAUGAUAUAAAUUUAUAUUUGAAUAUGAUUCAAAUUUAAUUUAGCUAUUAAUUAAUUAAUAGUUAUUUUUAUUUUAUUUAAUUAAAAUAAUAUAAAACUAUAAGAUAUCGGAGAGAUAUUCAUUAAAUAAGAUUUAAAUAAAAUAUUAAUUAAAUAUGAUAUAAUUAAUUAUUAACUAAUUGAUUAAGGGUUAAUUAGUUAAUAGAUUUAAAAUUUUUAUUGAUUUAAAAUUUUUAAAUUAAUAGAAUCACAAGAUUAUCUCCUAGUCCCUGAAGAAAAGAGAGUUAUAAAUAUGCGAAGGAAAAUUGUUUUUUGGUAAAAGAGUUUCUCUAAACAAUCUCUAAAUUUUUUCACAUACCAAUUGGUUCUCACAAACCAAUCUUAUCCUAGAGGAUAAGAAGGUCACCGACGGAUAGUGUCCCAAUUUGGAGAUUUAUUUUGUAGAUUCAGAGACGUCAAACAAGUAAAUUUUUCUCUCUCUAAUCUAUAAUUAGAAAACAUACUUAGCCUUUAAGUCUUAAUAAAAAAUUUUGUUUCUAUAUCAUUUUGCCAAUGUACUGAUAUUUUAGAAUUUCCAAAUUAAAUUGAGGAAUGAUUUUGUAAAAUCCUCCGUUGUCAUGGACUUUUAUCCCUUCAACUUGAAUAUGCAAUGCUUUUGUAUGACUUAAACCUUCAAGAGGAAAGUCAUCAUCCGUGAAGACUAUGAAAUUUGAAGACGUAAUGUUUCCAAUAAUGUUGUUAAACUUUUUCAUUCAAAUGUCAUGUCCAACUUGUGUCUUGUUCAAAAUAUCUAAUAGCACUUUGCGAUGAGACUCUGAAUUAAAAAACAAAGAUAAUAAAGAAAUUCGAGCUGGAGUAUGAUGCAUUUCCUCUAUGAUCUUAUACUUAUAUACUUUGUUUUACUAUUUUCAAGAAUUUAUUUGCUUCCUCAUCCGUAAUAGGCUUCUUGUAUUCUACAUCUUUUGCUAUUGAUAGAUAUCUCUACAUCUUGCUCUUUGCAAUGUUCAUUCACAUUUCUUCUCUAAUUUUUCCUCUAUUGCCCCAUUAUAAAACUACUUGAAGGAGCUAUUAAAUUAUCUAGUUUGUAACAUCUUCCACUUUGAGUUAUCUCGAUGAUUUCUGUAAGAUUAUAAACUGAAGGACCUGUAUUAAUGACAACUUGAAAAUCAUAUCGUCAUGACACUGCUUUCACAUUCUUAAACUUGAAAGGACUCGGUACUGGAUCGUGGGUUAUUUAGGAUUGUAGGAAGUUGACUCAUUACGACUUUCUUGAUAAAAGACCGUCAAAGGCCUUGGUAAAAAGGAUUUUUCCUUUUUUGCAACUUCAUCCAUUGAUGCACAUAUUUUAUUGUCUUUUAUCUCAUCAUUUCCUUGUCCUCUGUAUGAGUAUAUUUGAAUCCAUAAGUUGUUGUACUUUAGAUCUGAAUUUACAACACAGUUAGACAACGUGACUUGCAACUCUUUGAUGAAAUAUACAAUGUAUGUUUCCAUCGUAUCCUUCAUUUCUUAUGUUGGGGUCUAAAUAUUCCUGACUAACAUAUCCUGCUUCAAAAAGUGUUUUCAUAGACGUCACUAUCUCAUGAACUUUAUUUUUACACUUUUCAACAAGGCAAUCUACAACGUUCACUUUGAAUUUUCAUGAUUAGGCAGUGGAUUGUUGUUGACAUCCGGCUUCAACCAACUUUUUUGAAGCUUAACCAUCUAACAUUAAUUAAAGAUUGCACCUUUCUUUUAAAGGCCAAACAAUUUUCAGUUGAGUGUCAUGCUCCACCAGCAUGAUAAUCACAUCUAGCAUUUGAAUCAUACUAUUUUGGAUAAGGAGGUUGUAUAUGAUUCAUUGGAAUAAGAGCUAACUAUGGAUUUUGAAUUAGCUAGGGUAAAAACUCUGUAUAAGUCAUGGAAAUUGAAUCAAAAUCGCCAUGUAUCAGAGUUGGUCUUCCUACCAUGACCUUAUACAAAUGGUCGAUGAGAGUUUGAGUUAACAGGUUUUGGGGUUCCAAAGAAAGAGUGAGCUGGUACAUAGUUGUUAUAAGGGAUAUGAGAAACAUUGCUUAUAUAUGAAGAGAAAUUUUGGUCAUGUUUUCUUUGGCCAAAAAUCGAUUUGUGGUUCCCUAAAUUAGAAAACCCAAUUGCAUGAACCUCUCCUUCUUUCUUCUUAAAUGUUGUUCCUUUCUUUAAAUCCUCAUACUCAAUUGAAGCCUCUACUAACCUCCUAUGCUUUAUCUCAUAUUCAAUUCUUUCACCAAUAACAAUAAUGUCAGAAAAAUUGGUUGUAGUAUUACCAAUCCUUUGAUCAUAAAACAGAGCCCACAAAGUACUCAUAAACAUAGAUGUCAUUUCUUUGUCCGUUAAUGGUGGUUGAACCUCUGUAACCAUAUCUCUCCAUCAUUGAGCAUAUUCUUUAGAACUUUCUAAACUCUUCUUCUCCAUCCAUUGUAGGUCUAAACGAUCUGGUGCCAUAUUCAUAUCAUGUUUGUAUUGCUUUAGAAAUGCAUAAGCUAAGUCCUUUCAAACAUGAAUGUGUGCAUUAUCUAAUUGAAUAUACCAUCGAGUCAUUGGACCAAUCAAAUUGUCCUGAAAACAAUGGAUCAAUAAUUUAUCAUUACCAAUAUGCGCUGCCAUCUUUCUAUAGUACAUUAUAAGAUGACUCCUUGGACACUAUGAUCCAUCAUAUUUGUUAAAUUUAGGAACUUUAAACUUUGCUGGAAUUAUCAAAUCUGGCACCAAACACAAUUGUGUUGCAUCUAUAUUCUCAUAAAUGUCAAUCCCUUCAACAUUUCAAUUGCUUGCAACCUUUCUUCCAAAACAUCUAGUUUUUGCUUAGCCGGAGUGUUCUCAUUUUGUCCCAUGUCUUGAAUUUUAGUCUGAGCUUCCAAUUGUUAUAUUUCUGGAAUAGGAGGUGGAAUAGCAAAAAGCGAAUUCAUAUCAAUAUAGUAUUGCAUGGGUAAAUCUUGGAGGAUAAAUGGGAUCAUCGGUGUCUUGAACUCGAUUGCUUGAUUGUGUUGUAUCUACAACGACUUUCUCUUUUUUUUUAUUGAAAGCAAUUCCAGUAUUUUUGAAACUUGUUCCUCAAGCUUAUUAAUCUCUUAUCUCAUUUUAUCCAUGUCUUUAUCUUGUUCUUCCAUGAUUCGAUUUUUAUGCCUCAUAUGGUAAGGAUGUUGAAUUGAAGUAGGACGAGUGAUGUUUUCAUUUGAUGAUUUUGAAAACUUUAAAAACCAAAGAGAAAGGGAGAAAGAGAGAGAGAAAAUUUAUUAAAUAAUGAAUUCAAAUACAUUAAAGCCAAACAAAAUAUAAACCUGACAGAAUAAAAAUCAAACUAAAACAAAAAACAAACAAAAUGUAAUGAACACUCUCAUUUGUCAUUAAUUGCAAAAUAAGCAAUUAAUGAAAACGAUCAAAAUGCCCAAGUCCUCUACAUAUCAUCUUCAAAAUCCUAUUCAGAUCAUCUGCAUGAGGUUGCAUUGAGAAAAAAUUAAUCCUUAAAUUAGCUGCCCAUUCUGUAAAACUAUUUGCUCUUCUAGACAUUAUUUUGAGAAAUUUAAUCGUCUAAUCUACACAUUCAACUAACACCUGGAAAUCUUUUCUUUGCAAAAUCACAAUCAACCUUCACUUGCAUGUAAUCUGUCUUUAAUAAUUCGUAUUCUUGUACUAUCCCCUCACUUGAAUUUUGAAAUGCAAUAAGUUGAUAGUGUAAGGAAUCAACAUAAUUUUUCAGUAUUUUAUACUUUUCAGAGUACUCAACUAUCUUCACAUGUGGGUUAUCAUUUGUUUGAUGUAUAGAGUGAUUGUGUGCUUCCAAAUCUACUAUAUGUGCUUCCUGUUUUCCAAAUGAUGUAUUCAAAUCAUUGACAACUCGAGAAAAUAUCCUUCUCAAUUUCUAAAUCUUUAAUAUAUUCAUCUUGCGAUUCUAUUGUUGCCUGUAAUGUUGUCUUUUCAUUUUUCAAGCUUCUAUUUGCUUUACUCAUUUGCCUAAUCUCUUUAUCUAACACCUCAAAAUUCUUUUUUAACUUAUCUUGAUUUCUUAAGAAACUCUUGGUCUUUUCGAGCUCUUUCUACAAAAAAGUCACAUGAUCACUCAAUUGACUUGUCUCUUUACGAAGUUUCUCAUUCUCUUGCUCUAACAGUUGAUUUUUCUCUUAUAAUUUUAUGCUCUUCUCAGCCCACUAGUUUGAUUGUUCAAAGCUUGUCUCUUAUACCCUUUCAAUUGAUGGAAACGAUAGACAUGCGCAGCAAAAUAAAGAUCGAAUUUUACUCUAAUUGCAACUAAACAAGUUUAGUAAUUAACAUGCAUAAAAAUAAAACCCUAAAAUAACAUAGAUAGGGUUAAAAGAAAAACUUACCUUUGAAGUUUUUCUUCUCUUGUAUUCUCUUCACGAAUUUGAAGUCAGCACAACCACUAGAGUUUACCUCCUAUUCUUCGGACUUGGAACCGAGUUGUGGGACUAAAAAAUGGUGGAGGAAAUAGAGAGAGAUUGAUGAUAUCCUUUUGAUGAAAAAAUCUCAAAUGAAAAGAGUUCUUGGUCUUAUUUUGUAAUUCUCAAUUACAAAAUUAAUUUUCAAUUUCAAAUCCAAGAGUCCUUUCACAUUUGCAUAAAACUUGUUUACAAACAAACUACAUGCAAGAGCUUCCGUAUCUCACCACUUGACAUUCUUAGUGGGGUAGGUGUCUUACAUGCAAUAAGCCACUUGCAUACCACAUGCAAGUGAUAAGCUUGUCAAAUCUCAACCAAUGUUAUUAUUUAAAUUAGUUUAAGGUCAAUAUGGUAAUUCAACAUUUAAAUCAAAUUCAAAGUUUGACUUUUUCAAGUCCAAAAUCAACAUUUUAUCCGUCUUGACUAAUUUCAACCUCCCAAGCAUGAAUCCGUAUUCAUUUCUCCAAAAUUCAAAUCACAUUUGAAUAUAAAGUUAGUCAAAUUUUGAUUUUUCAAAGUCAAAAGUCAACAUUUUAACUUUUUACAUCUUUGACCUUUUUCAUCAAUUCUAAGCUUCCAAAUAUGAAUCCAUAUUCAUAUUUAAAUCACAUUUAAACAUGAAGCUCUAUCUUAAGUUAUAACUUAUAACUGUAUCAAAUAUAUUUGUCGGUUUCUCUCUAUUUACCUAAUUCAAACAAUUCAAAUUAUUCCAUCAUAAUGUUCUAAGUUGAUUCCUUAUGAACUAGCGGGGGAACCUAAUGAACCUAUAGAUCAUAGACUCCAACGUUCAGAGAUUAACUGACUAAACUCUUUAGACUGAGUUAAUCAAUCUUCGUUAACUAACGGGUCAUUAUACUAAAAUCCCGUAGUUGCACUCCCCUGACUAUAGAUAUAUUUGUGUCCAUGUGAUAUGACCAUGAUAAGUAAGUUAAUCCUUCAUAGGUUGUUCAUAAUCUCGACUGGGUCAAAGUACCAUUUUACCCCUGAUAUUAUAUAUUUUCUCCUUAAGUCCCACUGAUCCACUAUUGAACAAUUGGUUUAAGGUCCAACCUUUAAACCGAAUCCCUCUCGGGCCAAUGAGAGGGUGGGACCCCUUGUUCAAGACCUAGAUUUAGUUCUUAAGGAAACAACCUAUCUACUAACCCUAAAGUGGGUAGGAGUGAAUUCCAUCUUGCACCCUAUGUCCUUAGCUAUCCACCCAAUGUUACCCUUGAAAUGAGAGGCUUAUUGGGCCAGCACUAUUGAGUUGCCCUCACCUAUGCAGAUCUAUGAAUAAUCUCGUGUGAACGUAAUUUUAUAGUUAGCUUAGGAUUAAGAUUAAGUUACAUUGGAUAUCUAUAAACGAAAUAGUCAGUUUUACAAAGUUAACGGUUUUAUAACUUAAAAAUGACUAUUUCAUGGUUCCAAUCUUAUGUAAACUCUUUACAUAGGAUGCCCCAACUUUCAUGUCUCUACAUGAACGAUUCAGGAUCAUAUCGUUUAUACUAACUACAAAGUAGGCCGCAUCCAUAGUGUCCUCAAAAUAAGGUGCCCAAUCGUAUUCGUAUACUAUAGACGGUUUAGGCUAUAUACUCAAACUUGGUCCACAUUUAUGUCUCUACAUAAGGUUCAAGUUUACUCUAUUAUAGCAUUGAGACCUUAGUUUAUUGGCUUUAAGAUUAUAGUAUCAAUAACGACUUAUUGAAUAGAAUAUGAUUAUAAACCACGAGUUUUGGGACAUAAAUUUCAACAUCAACUACAUCCCUUAAGGUAUCUAUUACAUUUUUCCUUUUGUUUGCUUGCCAUGCCUCGUAUUCACUGGUAACUCCUUCAUAGUAUCAUUUUCCUUUUAUCUUCCUCACAGACUUCCAUGCACAUACUACUCGAUAUUUUUUUCUUGACAAUCUUCAAGAUCGUAUGAAAAGUCAGAGUCCUGUAGAUUAUGAGUUGGUGGUAUAAACUGUUUGAGCCACACUUGACACAAAACUAACAAUGGUGUAGAGUUAACACCUUCUUGUGGUCCCAACAAAGGCACACUAUGAAAAUCUCCACAUCUAUAAAUCAUCGCCUUCAAAGGCAUCCAUUGAGCCUUCCAUAUGACAUUUUCAAAACUCAUUGUUGAAAAGAAAGACACCCAACCCAAGUCUCCAUCCUUAGAUAUGUUGGGUCCCAAACUGCCAUACCAAACUCACUAACAACGUUCCACAAUAAAUUUCAUGAUCUACUAAAAUCUAUCCUUGGACGCCUAAACUCUGCUAGAAAUUUAAUAUGGUUGUGUAUCCAAAUAUAUAAUAAAAGGACACAACAAUUCAAUUUUUCUUCCCAUUUAUUUCUACAAUAGGUAAGAGAUUGAAAAGUUUAAGCCAAUAUAGGUAUAAUAGGAUCAACUCCUCGUUCUAUUUUAAAAAAUAAUCUGAUCACUUUCUCAUAAACAUAACCCUAUACUUUAGGAAAAAUCACCGCUCCAUAAAUGCACAACGCUAAGAGAGUAAAACAUUUGUCUUGAUCAAUGUAAGUUUGUGCCAUCUUUAUUAAAUAGUCAAACGACACAUUCUCCUCCAAACCCUGAACUUUUACAUGCUUUUGAAUUUCUGUGGCAUGGACGGUUUCUAAAAACUUUGAUAAAGUCCUAUUUGUUAUUUGCUUAGGGUUAAAGAAAUUAAUAAUAAUUUCCCUUUUUUUUUCAGGCAUGCUAAGCAUAGCGUGAUAUUCUUCUAUAGUUGACAAUAAAUCACACAACCCAAACGUGAAACAACCGUAUCUGGAUUCAAAUAUUAAUUAUGACUCUUAAAGCAAAAUAAUUCACCGGUAUGUACAUCAACUCUACUGUAUGUCCAUACUUCUUUGAAAACAUGAAUCUUCGUUGAGGUGUCAAUGCCUCCCAGAUCAUCUUUAGUUUCGCUAAAUCAUUUUGUGUAGAAGAGAGCUGACACAUGGAUAGUACUAAUACUUGAGAAGAACUGUUUAUGCUAUCCUAAAUUUUUGUUGCAUCUCUUUAGUCCAUUUCAGAACAUUGCUUGACUCAUCAAACUUAGAUUCAAAAGGUGAAUGCAUCGACAUAUUAGACAACUUGGCAUUUCAAUACUAUUACUUUUUUGCACAAUUAUGAUAAAAAAAGACAAAAAUAAAAACAUAUAGUCAAUUCACUUCACACAAAAAAGUAAAAAAUAAAAAGAAAAAGAAAAAAAGAAAAAAAAAGAGUAAAUAAGGUUUUGAUGCACUUGUAAACACUACUCUUCUUAUUAUUUUUUAAACAAAUAUUUAAUUUUAGAAAAUGUAAAUGUUUUCAUGCACUUAGAAGCACUACUCUUCUUAUUAUUUUUUUAAAAAAUUAUUUAAUUUUAGAAAAUGAAAAGUUUUCAUGCACCUCUACCAUGUAAACACUCUUUUCCUCAUUUUUUUUUUUUUUUAAAAGUCAUUUAAUUUUACAAAAAGAAAAGUUUUCAUGCACCUGUUCAAGGUAGACGCUACUCUCCUUAUUGUUUUUUAAAAAUAUUUAUUUAAUUUGAAAAAAAAUGUAAAGGUUUUCAUGUACCUCUACAAGGUAAAUAUUAUAAUGUUAUUCCCUUAUUAUAAUGUUAUUUAAAAAGGGUUGGUAUCAUUUAAACUUCUAGAAGGGAAAUGCCCUCAAACUUAUUAUAAUGUUAUUUAAGAAAUAACAAAAGAAUUAAUCUGAUCGAGGAUCUUUCAUGUGAUUGUAUAAAAGUCGAAACCCCUCGAAGGUCAACACUACUCCCUCCUCAAUUCUAGUCCUAUAAGGUUGUAGCCCGAGUAGAGGGCUUGUGAAUGUGUAAAAUGCAUGAUGAUAUAUAUAUAAAAAAACAGACCAAUAACAUAGUACAAAUUAAUAUUCCAUAUGAAUCAAAUCAAAAAACAAAUAAUUAAGUGAACCAACAAAUCAUAAUAGACUAAGAAUAAAGGAUAAAAAUAUAACGAUUUGUCUCUCUUAAACACUUUUUAAGUCCACAAUGGAAUCGUCAAGUUGUUGCGACUUGGUUGCAAUGCGCCAAUGUUCUCGUUUAUUUAAUUUUAAUAAAUAAAUAGGUUUGGAGCCACCACCAACUAAGGUGUGAUUGGUCACCCAAAAAUAAAAAUGGUCUACCCAAAUUCAUGAGAUGUAACUUCGAGAGUCAGUUAAGUGUAGGAAAUGUGUUAGCACCCUACAACACCCAUUAAAAUGAUUACCAAAAUUUAUCUUUUAAACUAAAUUAAAAAGGUUCACAAAACAAAAAUUUUUAUUUUGUUUUUUUAAAUGUCUCAUUGUUCUCAAUUCACGUGAAAGAAAAUAAAACCUAAACCUUAAUUGAUAAUUAUGGGUGACAUAAGAGUCAUUAGAAAAAUAAAUUUUAUUUUUUUAUUUUAAAAGAUUAUUUUUUCAUUUAUUGACCUCAAGAAUAUUAAAAUAUCAAACUUUGAUAUUUUAUUAUCCAUUAUAGGUGUCUAAUGAGAAAUUCCAUGUAUCUAAGAAUUAAUAAAUUCAUAAAAAACACUACUCAGUUCUCAUUUAAAAUUCUCAUUUAAAAUAUAAAAUUAUUUAUGAUUUUAAAGAUAAUUUAUUAAUUAAAUUUCAAAUGAAGAAACUUAAUCAUGAAAUUUAAGUUAUAAAACCCAUAAAAAAUAUUGCUUCUUCACUAAUUUAAAAUAAUAUGUAGUGAGUCUGUGAAAUAAAAUAAUAUGUAGGGAGAGAAAUAAAAUAAUAUGAAAGGAGGUUGCGAAAUAAAAUAAUAUAUAGGGAAUCUCGGUGUGAAAUAAAAUAAUUAUAUGCAGACAUGUUGUGACAAAAAAUAGUAUAGUGAGAUAAAUAACCGCAAAUAAAGAACACAAGCAAACAAAUAAAUAAUGCAUGAUGCCAAAUAAAUAAUGCACGAUGCCAAACAAUAAAUUUGAACUCAUGAUACUUAAAUUGACCUAAAUCUAAAAAACCGUUGAACCACGUAAUAAGUCUGGCAUAAAUAAAUUUAAAAUCACAAUGCCCAAAUAAAAUUAAUAUGAAAAGUAGGUAGUAAUGUAUGAAUCAUUUAAUUGGGAGAAGAAGUGAAAAAUAGCACAAAGUUUCUUCCUAUCUUCUCAACCCUCCCAAUUGACAACUAAUGGAAACAAUUUUCUUUUGCACCUCUCGCAACAAAAUCUUCCCCUCUAUUUUUUAUAGGGGAUAAGGUGAUAGUUUUUUAGAGAGAAGGAAGUGAGUCAAAGGCAGAGGAAGUGUUGAUGGAAAAAAAGAUCGAGAGAAAAUGGAGAGUAGUGCAUAUUGAGAGUGGUUAAGGAAAAAUAGGAAGAAGGUAACGUGAGAUUUUUCCUAUAUUUUUUCUUUUUUCAUUUUAAAAUAAUUCAAAUUCAUAUUUCUUUUAACAAAAUAUAAUAAAAUAAAUUAAAGUAAAUAAAUGAAUCUAAAGAAAAUGAAGGACAAAAUAUGUUUCCUUUAAAAUUAUUAUUGUAAGCCACUCCUUCCAAUUAAGCAUUUAUUGUUCUAACUUAUUGAGUUUUCUCUUCCUUAAUGCCUUUGAUUCAAUAUAUGAUAAGACAACUCCAAUAAAGUCAUGGUAUGAUAGGUAGUCCCUUGUUAGAAGUAUACCACACACUCCUCGUGGUGGAUCGUGACAAUGCCCACAACCUUACAAAAUGUUUUAAAGUUGUUGACGUUAGAGGAGUUUUCUUUUUAUUACAUUAUGUGUUUCGUAUCAUUAUUAUUUCAUUUAUUCCAUUAUGUAAAAAAAUGAUUUACAUAAAAUGUGAACGUGAAAUCAAAUUUCAUUACGAUCACACAACAUAUGCAGCCCAGACAAUAAACUUAAUCGUAAAAAAGCUGCAUUUACAUGAUUCUAUUGUUUUUCAUACUAUAACUAUCUUUUUUUUUCAUAUAAAUAUUUAAAUUUUUAGUUAAAUUCUAUAUUUUUUUAACUACUUUUUUUAGUUAACUCGAGUGUUUGAAACAUGGAUAAUAAAACAAAUAAAUCUUCUUAACAAAAAUAGCGUUUACCAAACUUAAGUUCUAAAACCAAAUUAAAAGGUUUAUAGUCCAUGACUACACACAAAUUAACUAUAAACAACUGAUGUUAAAAUUUAUUAAAUAAGACAUACAUAAAAGUCCCAUAUAGUCCCAUAUAGCUAAAAUGAAAAAAGUCAUAUAAACUACACAUGGAUAAAAUUGGAAUAGUAAAAACCUUUGGAAACAAUUAUCCGUAUGAUGAUCAUUUCAAAUAGAUUCAAAGCCUUGAUUAAAUAUAGCAACAAAAGCUUCCAUUUCAUCCCUUUCCUUAACAACACCAAUCUCCAUUACCGCAUCACUAUUUCUACUAUCAGUCAAAGAAAAAAAAUAUGGUGAUUCAGCUGACACAAUCUCCACUUUCUUUGGCUUUCCAAAUCCAAAAUCAGCGUUAUAAACUCCAAAUCUUGGUGAACCAGCUAGAGAAAUGGCUUGUGUUUCUGAAUAAUCAUAUGUCAGUUGGCUCAUUAUUGACCCCCAAUUCUCACACCCAUUUAAAGCUCCACCAUCCAAAUUUCUAAUAGCUUUUGAAAUCUCAUCACAAGCGAAAAUUAUUCCAUUUUCCCUCAAAAGCUCAAACCUUUCAAGACGAACAAAUCCAGCAACCAAACAAUUCCCAAAGUAAUUCAAUGGCACUUGUGGCUUUAAACGAAUUCUGGCAUCAGCUGCAAACACAAACCAUAAUUCUCCUUCUUUUAAACCUUCUAAUUUGGCUGUACAAACACAAAGAUAAGCUGUUGCUAUUGCAAAUGAAGAUAUGUCAGAAGAAGAAGAAUCAAAAUUUUCGUUUUUGAUCUUCUUGUUCAAGAUCCAUUCAUUUAGCUUUUGAAUGUUUUGGUGUGUGAAUUCUAAAGUGCUUCUAAUUAAACCAGGUAUUGUUUUGGGGAAUUUAAGGUUUAAGCUUCUGUUGUUGGGUCCUUCUAUGUCUUGCCAUGCCUUUGCAUAGAGUUUUGCAAAAUCUUUUGGAUCAUUUAUAAUUGAUCUAUCAUAUAAUGGCAUUUGCUCCGAGAUUGGUACAGAGGAUUCUUCAAUGCACAUUUGAGCCCAUGAUUUGAUAAAUGAAGUUGAGCUUCUUCCAUCUAAGAUUGCAUGGUGAUGGGUUAUUCCAAUGGAAAAACCUUCGUUUUGAAAUUUAGUUACCUAUAUUAAGAAUAUAAAUAAUUUAUAUAUUGUAUAUAUGCAAAUAUAGCAAUCACCUUUAAAUAGUUAUAUAUAUAAUACAAUACAAUGCAAAAUAAGUUUUAUAUAUAUAACAAAAUAUUGGAAUAUUCAAUCAUUAAUAAUAGUCUAUCACUAAUAUUGAAAAUAUAAAUGAUUAAGUAAUUGGUAGAGUUACAAGUAUUUCAAGAUAUAUCGUUAAUAAAAAAAUUCUAUUACAAUAGUGUCUAUCAGGUAUGAAUAUUUUGCUGUACUUCUAACUCUUUAACCAUGGUUAACUUAUUUGGCCAUAAAAGAUAUUUAUUAUAAUAAUUCUUAUAAUUACCCGUAAUUAAAUAAUACCUUAAUGGGUUAGUACUUAACCAUGCAUUAUUGAAGUCUUUAAUGCAGUACGUUAUUUUUCCUUUCAAUUCAGUCCUUUAAAAAAGUUUCAAUUUAGUAUUUUUCUUUUUGUUUGUUUCUCAAUUUAGUCUAUGAUGAUUAGUGAAUAAUGUCAAGAAAACUUUUAAAAAGAAAAGAAAAAGUAGUAAUUUCAACUAAUUUCGUAGAAUCAAAUAGGGAGAAGAAUUUAGAAACUUUCCCUUUUUAAUGACUUUUUUUUUUCUUUUAAAUGCCUUUGUACCAAUGUUCUAAUAAAUAAUGUCACUAAUAUUUAUAUAAUUUAAAUAAUAGUUUUUUUCAACUUAUUUGAAAAUAAUGUUUACUAAUUUUGGUGUUUCUGAGUGGUAGGUUUUUAUAACUUUUUCACACAUAUCCAAGCACCCAAUAAAAAUGUGGCACGUGACAUUUUUUUAAAAAAAUAAAAUGAUCGAUGAGUGUAAAAAAGAGUGAGAGUAUUCAAUUAAUCGCACCUAUUUAUUCAUAUACACGUAAUUUCUCGAAAGUAUAUUCUCUAAAAUUAAAAUACAUUAAACACAAUGAAUGAAAUCGAGAACUUUUAAAAGACGUUUAGAUCAGGGAGUUUGUUAUUAUAAUCUUAAAUUAUGAUAGUUCAAUUAUAAUAGUUUACAACCUAGGUGUAGAUUAUAAUUUUAGUCUGGUUUGAACUAUAAUGUUAACAAUAGUAAAUAUUACAUAAAAGAAUUUUAAUGAUUUACUUAAAAAAAACUAUAGAGAUGGACAAGUUUUAUAUUAUUUUGUGGGAAUGAGGCAUAACAUCUUUUCACCAUAUUUGGUGUAAGUUUUCAAUCUUGGGAAUGAUAGCAUCUUAUUCCAAAGGCAUUUCAUAUUCUCUUUCCAUGCAGAUUUUUCAUAACCUUCCAAAUAGGAUGAUUUCUCUCUCUCUUACUUCUUAUCUUUUUCAUUUUAUUUAUUUUUCCUUCUUUCUUCUUAUUAUUUAAUUCAAACAUUUUUUAUAAAUAUUUCUAAACUAAGCCAUCUAUAAUUGACAUUUGUAUUCAUUUUUAUUACUAAUGAUGCUAAUAUAAUAAUUUAUUCUAUUUUAUGAAUUACAAUAAUUAAACAUAAUUAUAAUUGCUUAAUUUUUUUCGACACCCUAAAUUGUUUUCAAAUACAAGAAAAAAAAAUCAAUCAAAAUAUUUACCAAACAUAUGUUUAAUAGAAUUUGAUAUUUCUUUUAUAUUCGUAGAUAAGUCGGCAGCUUUUUCAUUCGCAAUAAUUUUCUUCAAAAAUUUUAUACUUAAUUUCAUAAAUUAAGUACAAAUAUAGUUUUUGUUAUUCUCAUCCAUUUUUUUUCCAAGCAUACAUAAAUUUUUACAAACAUUUUUGAAAAACUUAUAAAAAAAUUAAAUUAGUAAAUAAAAUAAGUAAUUUAUUAUUUUCAAAUAAGUACACAUACGUAUGUUUUAGAUUCGUGAUAUUUUGAUGCUUAUAUAAAAGAGAUAUUGAUUCAUCCAUUGAAAACAUCUACAUGUAGAUGCAAAUUUGAUACCAAUUAAUUAUUACCUACUUUAAGAAUUUGUGGUUAAGUACCUGAAUAGCAAUGACUGCAGCACGAUCAUGAAAGACAGGUAAUUCAGGAACAAGAUGAUGAAAUUCGGAAACUUUUCGAAACCCGUUACUAGAAAGAUGAUAAAAGUCACCGUCGGACUCCGCCACCGUCAUGGAAACCCCAUCGCCCUCGUGAAAUUCAAUGACGGGUACAUCCGAUUGCGAUGGCCAAACGAGGUUGCCAGCCAGAGGAAGAUAGUGUUGAAGAGUAAGAGACAAAGAGCUCUUGAGCUUCGGAACAAUGACAUCGUGAAACGAGAUCUCAUUCGAUGGAAAUUCAUAGAAAAAAAGACGUUGGGUUGGAAGAAACCUUAGCCACAAUAAAUCAAAGAAAGUGAGGGGAAGAGAUGACGGCACCACCGCGGCCGCCGGAGGAGGAGAGACUUUGCAGACGUCAAUUAAUUUUAGAGAAGGAAAGUUAGCCAUCGGAAAUAAAAAGAAAGUGAGGAUAAUUGUUUAGAUUUUUUCAAAACUUUGUGGUGCUUUAAAGGUACAAAAACGACUGAAAGAAAAUACAGAUGACGACGAAUUGGCUUUUGUCUUUGCUUUUUAAUCGUUGGAAAGGAAAAUCCUACAGAAUUGCAAAAAUAUCGGUAGUAUCAUUUGUAUAAUACAUCCAAACAUUUAUAAAAUAUAAUAAAGUUUUACUGUAUUUUAUAAUUAUUUUUAAGAGUUUUAUUCUUUACAAUCAUUUUCUCUACUACAUCUCAUAUUUACUAUAAAAUAUAAAUAUUUUGCUGAUUUUUAUAAAUUAUAUUUUUAAAUAUUUAUUUUAAAUAGGUUUUUUUUUAAUAAAAAAAAUAGAACUAAGUGACAAAAUAUUUACAACGUAUAAAACAAUUUCAAAAACGAAAAAAAUUCACAAAUCCACAUUAGAAAAUAUAAAAAAUGUCCAUAAUUAAUUGACAUCGAUAUAAUAUAUUUUGGAAAUCAUGGUUCAGUAUUUGAAAAACGAUCGUUUAAAUCAAAUAUAAAUCUAAUAAUUUUUUAAUAAUUUUUAUUUCACACAAUUUUUUAAAUUUGGGUUGCCAAAUCUCAAUCAUUUUUUUCAAUUUUUUGAAGAAAUGAUCGUUUAUAUUUAGUACAAAACGAUUUUAUUAACGAUUAUUGGUACACGAGCGUUUAAAUUUAGUACAUAAUUGUUUAAAUUCGUUUUUUUAAAGAUUGUUUUGGUAAACUAUCAUUUAAAUUAAAUUUGGUACAGAUCGUUUAUAUUUGGCUCUUUAAAUUUGGAAAGCCAAAUCUAAACGAAUUUUUUAAAAGAUUCUUUGAUAUUUAAAUUUAGCUAUACACGAUUGUUUAGAUUUAGUUAUAUAAUAUUUCAAUAAUUUUUUUUUACGAUCUUUUAUAUUUGUUCCACAGUCUAAACAAUCAAAUAAAAAAAAACAUUGUUUAUUUGGUACAUAAACUUGAACUAAAUGAAAAUCGAGAAAAAGUAUGCAAAUUUCGUUAUGAUUACAAAAUUUUGGGAACAACCCAAACAACAAACUUAAUCUAAAAAAGGGGCGGACUAUUUAGAUCAUUGCAUUUGAUUUAUUGUUUUUCUUACCAUGAUUUUCAUCUAAUUUUUCUCACAUGAACAUUUAAAUUUUCACCUAAAUUCUAUAUGAAAAUUAUAUAUUUUUUUAACUUGUUUAAAACAUUCCUAAAAAUAGAUAAUAUAAGAUAAUGAAUCUUCUCACUGCAAAAUAAUGUCAAAUUAAGAUGUUUAUAGCCCUUACCUACAAGCAAAUUAACAAUAAAUUUACAACAAAUUAAAUUUAUUAAAUCAGACAUGCAUAAAGUAAUAGUAUUUUAAACUAUUAAUUAAAUUAAACAUCAUUAUUAAAAAUGUAUCAAAACUCAAAAGAGCAACAAAUUAUUUGGAAACUAACAAUGAUCCCAAUGUUGAUCAUUAAAAAAAGAUUCAAAGCCUUGAUUAAAUAUAGUAACAAAAGCUUCCAUUUCAUCCCUUUCCCUAACAACACCAAUCUCCAUUACCACAUCACUAUUUUGACUAUCAGUCAAAGGAAAAACGUAUGGUGAUUCAGCGGACACAAUCUCCACUUUUUUUGGUUUUCCAAAUCCAAAAUCAGCGUUAUAAACUCCAAAUCUUGGUGAACCAGCUAGAGAAAUGGCUUGUAUUUUUGAAUAAUCAUUUGUCGCUUGGCUCAUCAUUGACCCCCAAUUCUCAGACCCAUUUAAAGCUCCAUCAUCCAACUUUCUAAUAGCUUUUGAAAUCUCAUCACAAGCCAAAAUUAUUCCAUUUUCACUCAAAAGUUCAAACCUCUCGAGAGAAGUAUACCCACCAACCAAACAAUUCCCAAAGUAAUUCAAUGGCACUUGUGGCUUUAA